rfam:Desulfotomaculum aeronauticum DSM 10349 genome assembly, contig: EJ44DRAFT_scaffold00012.12
AAAAUAAAUUUGGGGAGCCGGGGAGAUGUCCUGGCUGAGAGGGUACCAAAGGGGUACCGACCCGUGAACCUGAUCUGGGUAAUGCCAGCGGAGGGAGAGUGAGAAAGAUGGCUA